GAUGAACGCUGGCGGCGUGCUUAACACAUGCAAGUCGAACGAAGCACUUAUCUUUGAUUCUUCGGAUGAAGAGGUUUGUGACUGAGUGGCGGACGGGUGAGUAACGCGUGGGUAACCUGCCUCAUACAGGGGGAUAACAGUUAGAAAUGACUGCUAAUACCGCAUAAGACCACGGAGCCGCAUGGCUCAGUGGGAAAAACUCCGGUGGUAUGAGAUGGACCCGCGUCUGAUUAGGUAGUUGGUGGGGUAACGGCCUACCAAGCCAACGAUCAGUAGCCGACCUGAGAGGGUGACCGGCCACAGUGGGACUGAGACACGGCCCAAACUCCUACGGGAGGCAGCAGUGGGGAAUAUUGCACAAUGGGGGAAACCCUGAUGCAGCGACGCCGCGUGAGCGAAGAAGUAUUUCGGUAUGUAAAGCUCUAUCAGCAGGGAAGAAAAUGACGGUACCUGACUAAGAAGCACCGGCUAAAUACGUG
rnacentral:rRNA from 1 species